rnacentral:rRNA from 1 species
GCGUUGUCCGGAUUUAUUGGGUUUAAAGGGUGCGUAGGCGGCCCUGUAAGUCAGUGCUGAAAUAUCCCGGCUUAACCGGGAGGGUGGCAUUGAUACUGCAGGGCUUGAGUACAGAUGAAGUAGGCGGAAUUGACGGUGUAGCGGUGAAAUGCAUAGAUAUCGUCAAGAACACCGAUAGCGAAGGCAGCUUACUAAGCUGUAACUGACGCUGAGGCACGAAAGUGUGGGGAUCAAACAGGAUUAGAUACCCUGGUAGUCCACACUGUAAACGUUGAUGACUCGAUGUUGGCGAUACACAGCCAGCGUCCAAGAGCAAUCGUUAAGUCAUCCACCUGGGGAGUACGCCGGCAACGGUGAAACUCAAAGGAAUUGACG